rnacentral:rRNA from 1 species
GGCGAGUGAAGCGGCAAAAGCUCAAAUUUGAAAUCUGGUACCUUCGGUGCCCGAGUUGUAAUUUGGAGAGGGCAACUUUGGGGCCGUUCCUUGUCUAUGUUCCUUGGAACAGGACGUCAUAGAGGGUGAGAAUCCCGUGUGGCGAGGAGUGCGGUUCUUUGUAGAGUGCCUUCGAAGAGUCGAGUUGUUUGGGAAUGCAGCUCUAAGUGGGUGGUAAAUUCCAUCUAAAGCUAAAUAUUGGCGAGAGACCGAUAGCGAACAAGUACAGUGAUGGAAAGAUGAAAAGAACUUUGAAAAGAGAGUGAAAAAGUACGUGAAAUUGUUGAAAGGGAAGGGCAUUUGAUCAGACAUGGUGUUUUGUGCCCUCUGCUCCUUGUGGGUAGGGGAAUCUCGCAUUUCACUGGGCCAGCAUCAGUUUUGGUGGCAGGAUAAAUCCAUAGGAAUGUAGCUUGCCUCGGUAAGUAUUAUAGCCUGUGGGAAUACUGCCAGCUGGGACUGAGGACUGCGACGUAAGUCAAGGAUGCUGGCAUAAUGGUUAUAUGCCGCCC